CAGCAGCCGCGGUAAUACGUAGGUGGCAAGCGUUGUCCGGAUUUAUUGGGCGUAAAGCGAGCGCAGGCGGUCAAUUAAGUCUGAUGUGAAAGCCCCCGGCUCAACCGGGGAGGGUCAUUGGAAACUGGUUGACUUGAGUGCAGAAGAGGAGAGUGGAAUUCCACGUGUAGCGGUGAAAUGCGUAGAGAUGUGGAGGAACACCAGUGGCGAAGGCGACUCUCUGGUCUGUAACUGACGCUGAGGAGCGAAAGCGUGGGGAGCGAACAGGAUUAGAUACCCGGGUAGUCCCUGUCUCUUAUAC
rnacentral:rRNA from 1 species